CCAUCCACCAUGUCUGGGGGCCCAUGAAACCUUCCAGUAUCUUAAUGCAAGUUGGGGCCUCUCAACUGCCACAUCUGUGGGACAAAACAGGGGGUAUUGUCGACAGGGGGUAUUGUCCUUUAGAGCCUAUAGGUUCUCCUCUUACCCUAUAGGUUCUCCUCUUACCCUAUAGGUUCUCCUCUUACCCUAUAGCUUCUGCUCUUGCCCUAUAGAACCUAUAGAUUCUCCUCUUACCCUAUAGGUUCUCCUCUUACCCUAUAGCUUCUGCUCUUGCCCUAUAGAACCUAUAGGUUCUCCUCUUACCCUAUAUCUUACCCUAUAGGUUCUCCUCUUACCCUAUAGAACCUAUAGGUUAUUAUCUUACCCUAUAGGUCCUCCUCCUUCUCCUUUUUCACUCUGUUUCUCCUACUUGACUACUACUUGACUAUAGACUGUUGUUCACUCUGUUUCCUGCUACUUGACUAUAGACUGUUGUUCACUCUGUUUUAUCCUACUUGACUAUAGACUGUUCACUGUUUCCUUCUACUUGACUAUAGACUGUUGUUCACUCUGUUUCCUCCUACUUGACUAUAGACUGUUGUUCAAUCUGUUACUCCUACUUGACUAUAGACUGUUGUUCACUCUGUUUCCUCCUACUUGACUAUAGACUGUUCACUGUUUCCUUCUACUUGACUAUAGACUGUUGUUCACUCUGUUUCCUCCUACUUGACUAUAGACUGUUGUUCACUCUGUUUCUCCUACUUGACUAUAGACUGUUGUUCACUCUGUUUCCUCCUACUUGACUAUAGACUGUUGUUCACUCUGUUUCCUCCUACUUGACUAUAGACUGUUGUUCACUAUGUUUCUCCUACUUGACUAUAGACUGUUGUUCACUAUGUUUCUCCUACUUGACUAUAGACUGUUGUUCACUCUGUUUCUCCUACUUGACUAUAGACUGUUGUUCACUAUGUUUCUCCUACUUGACUAUAGACUGUUGUUCACUAUGUUUCUCCUACUUGACUAUAGACUGUUGUUCACUCUGUUUCUCCUACUUGACUAUAGACUGUUGUUCACUAUGUUUCUCCUACUUGACUAUAGACUGUUGUUCACUAUGUUUCUCCUACUUGACUAUAGACUGUUGUUCACUAUGUUUCUCCUACUUGACUAUAGACUGUUGUUCACUCUGUUUCUCCUACUUGACUAUAGACUGUUGUUCACUCUGUUUCUCCUAUUCACUGACUGUAUAGGAGUUCUGUUUGGCAGUAGCAUUGUUACUAUCACAGCAUUUCUGUUAUUAUUAUUAUGUAUACAGUAUGUACAGUUCUCCUGUAUUGACUAAUGCUGUGUCCAAAAUGUCACCCUGUUCCCUACGUUCGUUCACUACCUUUGGAGCUCUAUAAAGGGAAGUGCGUAGCAUGUGGGGACGCAGCCUACAACUAAAGGACCAAACUAACGUGCGGUGCUGAGAUAUGGAACCAAAGCCAGAGACUGUAGAAUGUUCGAGACCGUUAGAACCUUUUACACUCUAGAACCUUCUUGGACUUUAUAAGGAUCUUUUACCGAGUUGCAAUUCAUAUAAAGGAAAUCAGUCGAUGUUAAGUCCCUAAUCAGGUGAUGAAGCCAGAUGUGAGGUCCUGGGUUGUCGUGGUUACAUGUGGUCUAUGGUUGUGAGGCCGGUUGGACGUACUGCCAGAUUCUCUAAAACAACAUUGGAGGUGGCUUAUAGUAGAGAAAUGAACAUUCAAUUAUCUGGCAACAACUAUGAUGGACAUUCCUGCUAUCAACAUGCCAAUUGCACUCUCCCUCAACUUGAGACAUCUGUAGCAUUUUUAGAAUGGCCUUUUAUUGUCCCUGGCACAAGGUGCACCUAUGUACUGAUCAUGCUGUUUUUAAAUCAGAUUCUUGAUUAUGCCACACCUGUCAGGUGGAUGGAUUAUCUUGGCAAAGGAGAAAUGCUCACUAACAGGGAUGUAAACAAAUUUGUGUACAACAUUUGGGAGAAAUAAGCUUUUUGUGCGUAAGGAACAUUUCUGGGAUCUUUUAGUUCGGCUCAUGAAACUCGGGACCAACACUUUUUCCAUUUUGUGUUUUUGUAUUUUUGUUCGGUGUAUUUCCAAACGCAUCUUUUGCACUUGUCUAUCUACCAAAAAUUAACAAUUGUGUAUAAUUGUGUGUUUUUGAAUUAUAAACGCAAUUUAAUGCCAAAUAUCGAGAUCAACAUUAUUCUUUGUGUAUAAUGUACGUGUUUUAUGAUUCUUUAAAAAUAGGAAAUUCAAAAAGCACUCGCACAUCUGAGUUAUCUUCGUUGCAGGUGCGUCAUAACAGUUGAAUAAAACAAGACCAAAAAGGAGAAACCUACACACUGCUCUUUAAGCUUUACAAAUCGCCCUCCCGUCCAAUCAGAAGCUUAUUACAGAGCAGUGAGCGGGUUUAAUUUUUUUUUUUUUUUUUUU